UCCAUCGUUUUGAGACACAGG
rnacentral:miRNA from 1 species